CCUACGGGGGGCAGCAGUGGGGAAUAUUGGGCAAUGGGCGCAAGCCUGACCCAGCAACGCCGCGUGAAGGAAGAAGGCUUUCGGGUUGUAAACUUCUUUUCUCAGGGACGAAGCAAGUGACGGUACCUGAGGAAUAAGCCACGGCUAACUACGUGCCAGCAGCCGCGGUAAUACGUAGGUGGCAAGCGUUAUCCGGAUUUACUGGGUGUAAAGGGCGUGUAGGCGGGACUGCAAGUCAGAUGUGAAAACUAAGGGCUCAACCUGUGGCCUGCAUUUGAAACUGUGUUUCUUGAGUGCUGGAGAGGCAAACGGAAUUCCGGGUGUAGCGGUGAAAUGCGUAGAUAUUAGGAGGAACACCAGUGGCGAAGGCGGUUUGCUGGACAGUAACUGACGCUGAGGCGCGAAAGCGUGGGGAGCAAACAGGAUUAGAUACCCUUGUAGUC
rnacentral:rRNA from 1 species